rnacentral:rRNA from 1 species
UUAAGCAUAUCAAUAAGCGGAGGAAAAGAAACCAACCGGGAUUGCCUCAGUAACGGCGAGUGAAGCGGCAAGAGCUCAGAUUUGGAAUCGCGCAAGCGAGUUGUAAAGUGAAGACUGACUUUAGGGGAGUCGAACGGUCAAGUGCCUUGGAAAAGGCCGCCACAGAGGGUGACAGCCCCGUUGGCCGGGACCGCUCCCCGUACAAAGUUGUGUCCAAGAGUCGAGUUGUUUGGGAAUGCAGCUCUAAGGGGUGGUAAAUUCCAUCUAAAGCUAAAUACCGGCGAGAGACCGAUAGCGAACAAGUACAGUGAUGGAAAGAUGAAAAGCACUUUGAAAAGAGAGUGAAACAGCACGUGAAAUUGUUGAAAGGGAAGGGCUUGGCCUCAGACGCGGCGCCGCCUCGGUGGUGCCGGGCCAGCAUGGGCUCGCACGGUGCGACAAUGGCAGAGGAAGGUGGCCUUCGGGUGUUAUAGCCUCUGCUGAUGGUGCCAGUGCGGGCCGAGGACUGCGCGUAUGCAAGGAUGCUGGCGUAAUGAUGUCAAGCCGCCCG